GGUUACACUAUGACCACAUGGCUUCCUGUGAGUCCUCGACAGAAGUACAGCCCAUGAGUGGAUCCACUGGGCCCCAGAAGUGGGUGUUCAUUCCCCCUGAAUUUGCCCUAACAUCAUAUGCUGCUACAGCUUCUUAAAAAGACUAGAAACCCAGCUAGUAUACAGAAUAUAAAAUGACACUUCGCUGCCUCUUUCAUGAUGAGACCAGUCCAGGGAUUGCUGGGGGCGGUCAGCAUCUCCAGGGCAUGGCCCAGCCAAUGAAGCCACCUGCAUACUGCCUUGCCCUCUGCUGCCUGAUUUCUCAGAAGCCAGUAAGGGAGAUUGCUUUUGUUAGCUUGUGGCCACCAGGUUCUCAGGCUGGACCUGGCUCUUGAGGUGCUUUGGAGGGUCUUCCGUGGCUGCUCAAGGGGUCCCAGGGCAGACAUGUGACCCGCAGUCUGUGAUCUGCACUUACAGUUUCCGGAGGGAGGAGUCAUCUAAUGAGCUUCAGAAAGACUCCCGAAACUGUGACUCAUGGUGCCAGAGUCGUAAGAAUAAAGCAAAGAUGUUGAUUAUGAAAGACA
rnacentral:lncRNA from 1 species